rnacentral:misc_RNA from 1 species
GAUGAAGAACGUAGCGAAAUGCGAUACUUGGUGUGAAUUGCAGAAUCCCGUGAACCAUCGAGUCUUUGAACGCAAGUUGCGCCCGAAGCCAUCAGGUUGAGGGCACGUCUGCCUGGGCGUCACAUAUCGUUGCCCAAUGCCUAUUGCAGUGCAAUAGGAAUUUCUAGGGCGAAUGAUGGCUUCCCGUGAGCGUUGUUGCCUCGCGGUUGGUUGAAAAUCGAGUCCUUGGUAGGGUGUGCCAUGGUAGAUGGUGGUCGAGUUAGAACGAUACCGAUCAUGUGCAUGCUCCCCAAAAUAUGGCCUCUAUGACCCACCCGCGUCUUUUGACGCUCAUGACGAGACCUCAGGUCAGGCGGGGCUACCCGCUGAAUUUAAGCAUAUCAAUAAGCGGAUGA